rnacentral:rRNA from 1 species
UACGGAGGGGGCUAGCGUUGUUCGGAAUUACUGGGCGUAAAGCGCACGUAGGCGGCUUUGUAAGUUAGAGGUGAAAGCCCCGGGGCUCAACUCCGGAAUUGCCUUUAAGACUGCAUCGCUAGAAUUGUGGAGAGGUAAGUGGAAUUCCGAGUGUAGAGGUGAAAUUCGUAGAUAUUCGGAAGAACACCAGUGGCGAAGGCGACUUACUGGACACAUAUUGACGCUGAGGUGCGAAAGCGUGGGGGAGCAAACAGG